CUAGGAGCUUCGAACAUCCCUUUGAUACAAUGUCAUGAGGUAGACCUGCUUUAAUUUUUCUUUAGUCCAUUCGCAAUUUUUCUUACUUAAAAAGUUGCAUCUCUAACUUGCGAAAUGUCGUCCACAAGUUGUGAGAUCUGGAAAUAACUGUUUCAUGAUGCGCAGGCACUGGAAGGACUGGAUAUCUCAAUAUAAUUAAGCAGAGUGGUGCAGUGCUUACCUGUUUUUGUACGCUAAGUUAACAGAUUUUCAAAGGCCGAAGCUGUGGGAUCAAUAUGACAUGCAUGCACAAGGAAGACUUGAUCGUCUCCCAAGCUUAUCUCAAGUUUGAUCUUCAUCGAUCCACAUGUUUAGUGCCCUCUCUAUUCUAUUGUCCCAAGGGGAGUUAGGAGGUGGAGGAAAGCCCGACAGACACAACUUGUGAAAGAGCCCUUUCCUGUGCCCUGUCCUGAUUGGAUAACAUAGCUUGGCGUGGUUACGAGAAAUAUGAUAAUAUUGUGGGAGCAGGGUCAGGCGUAAAAGGUGGAGUAUUGAAGAGCCGCUGACAUUUGAAUGUUGUCAACAUCUGUCGCAGCUAGGGGAGGAAUUGUGAAUUUGACUUUUCCAGUAUGUUGUGAAAUGCUUUACAUGCAGAUCAUUCGAAAGUCAUGAUGCUCUCUUCCUGCUUUUUGGCUUGUAAGACAUUGGGCCCUUUUAAGCUAGGGUUCCACAUGUCGAGUCACUGGUAGAUCCGUUGCUAAUUAACUCCAUAUUUUGAAUUUCGUUGCCGAGGAGUAGUUUUCUUGCUUAAGAAAAAGAGAAUUUGAGGAAUUUAUUGUUGAAGUUCUUGAUUCUGA